rfam:Myotis davidii contig74994, whole genome shotgun sequence.
GCCCAUGUGGCUCAGUGGUAGAGUGUCUCACUGAAGGGUCACAGGUUUGAUUCCUGGUCAAGGGCA